rnacentral:rRNA from 1 species
UCGCCUGUUUAACAAAAACAUGUCUUUUUGAUAAUUAUUUAAAGUCUGGCCUGCCCAAUGAUUAAUUAAAUGGCCGCAGUAUUUUGACUGUGCAAAGGUAGCAUAAUCAUUAGUUUCUUAAUUAGAAGCUGGAAUGAAUGGUUUGAUGAAAAAUUAACUGUCUUUAUUUUGUUAUUAUAAAAUUUUAUUUUUAAGUUAAAAAGCUUUAAUUUUAUAUAAAGACGAGAAGACCCUAUAGAGUUUUAGGAUUAAUUUUAUAAUUUAUUAUUUAUUAUUCUUUUGGUUGGGGUGACUUGAAAAUUUAUUAAACUUUUUAUUUUUUUUACAAUUAUUUUUGAUUUAUUGUUCCUUUUUACUGAUUAUAAGAUUAAAUUACCUUAGGGAUAACAGCGUAAUUUUUUUUGAAAGUUCUUAUUGAUAAAAAAGUUUGCGACCUCGAUGUUGGAUUAAAAUAAAUAUUUGGUGCAGUAGCUUAAAUAUUGGGUCUGUUCGACCUUUAAAAUUUUACAUGAUCUGAGUUCAAACCGG